CCUACGGGCGGCAGCAGUGAGGAAUAUUGGUCAAUGGGCGCUAGCCUGAACCAGCCAAGUAGCGUGAAGGAUGACUGCCCUAUGGGUUGUAAACUUCUUUUAUAUGGGAAUAAAGUGCAGUAUGUAUACUGCUUUGCAUGUACCUUAUGAAUAAGGAUCGGCUAACUCCGUGCCAGCAGCCGCGGUAAUACGGAGGAUCCGAGCGUUAUCCGGAUUUAUUGGGUUUAAAGGGAGCGUAGGCGGAACAUUAAGUCAGCGGUAAAAUCGAGGGGCUCAACCCCUUUAAGCCGUUGAAACUGGUGAUCUUGAGUGGGCGAGAAGUAUGCGGAAUGCGUGGUGUAGCGGUGAAAUGCAUAGAUAUCACGCAGAACUCCGAUUGCGAAGGCAGCAUACCGGCGCCCGACUGACGCUGAGGCACGAAAGCGUGGGGAUCGAACAGGAUUAGAUACCCCGGUAGUC
rnacentral:rRNA from 1 species